ACAGCAGCAGCCGCGGUAAUACGAAGGGUGCAAGCGUUAGUCGGAAUUACUGGGCGUAAAGCGUGCGUAGGCGGUGAGUUAAGUCUGCUGUGAAAUCCCCGGGCUCAACCUGGGAAUGGCAGUGGAUACUGGCUCGCUAGAGUGUGUCAGAGGAUGGUGGAAUUCCCGGUGUAGCGGUGAAAUGCGUAGAGAUGUGGAGGAAUACCGAAGGCGAAGGCAGCCCCUUGGGAAUGUACUGACGCUCAUGUGCGAAAGCGUGGGGAGCAAACAGGAUUAGAGACCCCUGUAGUCCCUGUCUCUUAUAC
rnacentral:rRNA from 1 species